UUAAACAAAUAUCAGAAACCAAAAUCAAGACUUGAUAAUUUUAACCAUUUUAUAUUUAUUACCUUAAUGUGUGUUUUAAAGAUUGAUGUAAUUUAUUUAAUACAGUAAUUAACUGUGACAAAACUUUUAUUCCAUACUUUCUUUUGUUUUUGUUAAUAUUUUAUUUUUAUUAUACAAUAUUCUUCAAUUUUAUGUAUUUUACCAAUUUGUAAUGAAAAGUAAUGUACUGUAAUGGAGGCAUUACAUCAAUUUUUAACUAAAGUAAUCAUUACAUUACAUGUAAUUGUAAUGCAGAAAAUGUGCAUUACAAAUUACUUUGCAUUACAUCCAAAAAAUGUAAUAUUACAGUGCAUUACAAUUACAAAUUACCAUUACCCCAGGCCUGUAAUGUAGACUAGAUUAUAUCCAUUAAUGAAUAUACAUAUGCAAAUACUGGUAAAACGGCUAAAUAGCAUGAACAAGACUAGUGAGAGUUGUCGAAUUAUAACAGUCAUGUGACUUACUAUUCAGCUUUAAAUAAAAUAAUAUACUACAAACAAAUCACAAAAAUACUGCAGUUUCAUUUUCUUAUGAGGGGCACAGGGCACCUUAUGGAAAUUGGAACUGUAAUUUCUGAAAUUUUUUCAUGACAUUGUCUCACAAAAAAAAACCUAAACUGUUGGUCCUUUGGGACCUAGCAAUCAUUAAUUAAUUUUUUUGAUUGUGUAACAAUGCACCAACAUGCAUGAUUAAACAAAGUCAUUUCCAUAAAUGCUGCAUACAAAUAAUACUAUCAAAAUUUCAAAUGCUAUAUAUUAUUUUUGCAACACCUAUCUCGUCACAAUAUUUUCAAUAAAAAACAAGUGUCAUAUCAUCAAAACAUGAUACAUCACAUCCAGUCUAAUACAAAAAUAGAAUUAAAAAAAAAUCCCUUAAAUUGACAGUUGUUACAAGAUGUAGGAAAUUAAGUUUGCAUUUUGUUAUAAACAUAUACUGUGGGUGAUGCAAAUUAUCAUAUUUUUUUGGGUUAUUUAAUCAUUUUAAAAUAAUCUGUAUAAUAGUAUCAGACAUAUCAAUGAGAAAUUAACUUAAAUUACAAUGUACAAAAUGAUGUAUAUAAAAUGUAUUUGUGAAUUUUAUGAGAAAUGAACAAAAUUUCAAAUAAUACAUAAAGCAUUAAAAAAAUAACAAUUCCAAAGAAUGCUUAAUUAACAGAGACUAGCAUAACAAGAUCUUAAAGCAGUUUUGACAUACCUGGUAAGUGCCCUAAAUCCAAAACCUAUUACAAGAAUGAUAAUUAAGUCAAUAUUACUAUCAAACAUAGAAAAACUACAUAUAUAAAUGGAUAAGUAUUUUGGCAAAAACUGGGAAGCACAAACAAGUUAUUAUCCAUAUUUUAAGGUACACAAUUUAUAAACUUGUAAAUCUUUUCAAGUAGCACUAUUUAAUUCAAUUAUGAAAUGUCACAUGUCAAUCACAUGGUAUUUAGUAUAAUGGCUGAAGGUCAAGUAUUCUUAAAAAUGAUACAUAGAACUAAUAAUGAAUUAUUUUAUUUUAUUUUGUUAAGAUUUAUUGUAUAACAAGCUUAUAAAAUUUUGAUGAUGUUUGGUUUUACUUUGGAAAGUUGUUCUUUCUCAAUUAGAAGAAGUUCUAUCACACCUGGUUAAUUCCCUACCCUGACCCAAUUUUCAUUAUUCCCAAUCCUGUAUUCAUACUUUAAAACCUAUAAUUAUAAAUAAAUAUGUACAGGUACACUUUGAUUCCAGACCAAGACUUUUUUUUAACAAUUAAAGCAUUGACUAAUACUAUAUUUUUUAUUAUGUCCAUUAAAAGUUAUUAUGGCACCUUAAAUCUUUGUAAUUUGUAACAGUAAAUUAACAUCAUUAUAUGCAUACAAAAAAUAAAAACAAAUUUCCUCUAUCACAAAUAUUAAUUGCAAUUAGUUUUAUGAGGAUUGGAAAUUAAUACAAGUGAAUUUUCACUUUUAUAAAUUCUUAUUUCAAUGUAUCUUAAAAGGAAGACAAAUGUAUGACCCGUCACAUGAGGACUAUGCUUGUACAGUACAUAUAUAUAUAAACUGUGGAUUCAUGAUUUUUCGUUGGAUACCAAUUUUCAUGAAUUUCGUGGGUACAGUGAACCAAGUAAUUAAAUGUUCAACGAUUGACAAAUUUUUCUGUAGGUUUGUUUGCAGGUUUCGGCAAGACCACGAAAUUAAAUAUCCAUGAACAUGCAAGUUUUCCUUAAUCCACGAAAAUUGGUACCCACGAAAAUAAAUGAAUUCACAGUACAAAUUUAAUACACUAGAUGAAAAAAUAUGUCAUAAAACAGAAUAACAUAAUCUUCAAACAUACAAUUUAAAUUGCAAAUUUGAUAUCUUAUGAUUGCACAAAUACCA
rnacentral:lncRNA from 1 species